rnacentral:rRNA from 1 species
UGAGUAACGCGUAUGCGACCUGCCCGUUGCAGGGGGGAUAAUCGGGAGAAAUCCCGUCUAAUACCGCGUAACGCCGCGGGGCUGCAUGGCCCUGCGGCCAAAGGGAGCGAUUCCGGCAACGGAUGGGCAUGCGUGACAUUAGCUAGUUGGCGGGGCAACGGCCCACCAAGGCGACGAUGUCUAGGGGUUCUGAGAGGAAGGUCCCCCACACUGGUACUGAGACACGGACCAGACUCCUACGGAAGGCAGCAG